GGGCGCAAGCCUGAUCCAGCCAUGCCGCGUGAGUGAAGAAGGCCUUCGGGUUGUAAAGCUCUUUCGGCCGGGACGAAACGGUUCGUGCUAAUACCACGGACUACUGACGGUACCCGCAGAAGAAGCACCGGCUAACUACGUGCCAGCAGCCGCGGUAAUACGUAGGGUGCAGGCGUUAAUCGGAAUUACUGGGCGUAAAGCGUGCGCAGGCGGUUUGUUAAGACAGGUGUGAAAUCCCCGGGCUUAACCUGGGAAUUGCGCUUGUAACUGGCAGACUGGAGUGUGGCAGAGGGGGGUGGAAUUCCAAGUGUAGCAGUGAAAUGCGUAGAUAUUUGGAGGAACACCGAUGGCGAAGGCAGCCCCCUGGGCUAACACUGACGCUCAUGCACGAAA
rnacentral:rRNA from 1 species